GACGAACGCUGGCGGCGUGCCUAAUACAUGCAAGUAGAACGCUGAAGGAGGAGCUUGCUUCUCCGGAUGAGUUGCGAACGGGUGAGUAACGCGUAGGUAACCUGCCUGGUAGCGGGGGAUAACUAUUGGAAACGAUAGCUAAUACCGCAUAACAGUAGAUGUUGCAUGACAUUUGCUUAAAAGGUGCAAUUGCAUCACUACCAGAUGGACCUGCGUUGUAUUAGCUAGUUGGUGAGGUAACGGCUCACCAAGGCGACGAUACAUAGCCGACCUGGGAGGGUGAUCGGCCACACUGGGACUGAGACACGGCCCAGACUCCUACGGGAGGCAGCAGUAGGGAAUCUUCGGCAAUGGACGGAAGUCUGACCGAGCAACGCCGCGUGAGUGAAGAAGGUUUUCGGAUCGUAAAGCUCUGUUGUAAGAGAAGAACGAGUGUGAGAGUGGAAAGUUCACACUGUGACGGUAUCUUACCAGAAAGGGACGGCUAACUACGUG
rnacentral:rRNA from 1 species